rnacentral:rRNA from 1 species
GACGAACGCUGGCGGCGUGCCUAAUACAUGCAAGUCGAACGCUUCUUUCCUCCCGAGUGCUUGCACUCAAUUGGAAAGAGGAGUGGCGGACGGGUGAGUAACACGUGGGUAACCUACCCAUCAGAGAGGGAUAACACUUGGAAACAGGUGCUAAUACCGCAUAACAGUUUAUGCCGCAUGGCAUAAGAGUGAAAGGCGCUUUCGGGUGUCGUUGAUGGAUGGACCCGCGGUGCAUUAGCUAGUUGGUGGGGUAACGGCUCACCAAGGCGACGAUGCAUAGCCGACGUGAGAGGGUGAUCGGCCACACGGGAACUGGAACAGGGACCAGACUCCUGCGGGAGGCAGCAGUAGGGAAUCUUCGGCAAUGGACGAAAGUCUGACCGAGCAACGCCGCGUGAGUGAAGAAGGUGUUCGGAUCGUAAAACUCUGUUGUUAGAGAAGAACAAGGACGUUAGUAACUGAACGUCCCCUGACGGUAUCUAACCAGAAAGCCACGGCUAACUACGUG